rnacentral:rRNA from 1 species
GACGAACGCUGGCGGCGUGCUUAACACAUGCAAGUCGAACGAAGUGGCGAACGGGUGAGUAACGCGUAAUCAACCUGCCCUUCAGAGGGGUACAACAGUUGGAAACGACUGCUAAUACCGCAUACUGAAGCAGGGGCUUUCGUCGGAUUAGCUAGUUGGAGGGGUAACGGCCCACCAAGGCGAUGAUCAGUAGACGGUAUGAGAGGAGGAACGGCCAAAGGGGGACUGAGACACGGCCCAGACUCUGACGGGAGGCAGCAGUGGGGAAUCGUCCGCAAUGGACGAAAGUCUGACGGAGCAAAGACGCGUGAGUGAUGACGGCCUUCGGGUUGUAAAGCUCUGUUAAUCGGGACGCGGUACCGGAAUAGAAAGCCACGGCUAACUACGUGCCAGCAGCCGCGGUAAUUC